rnacentral:lncRNA from 1 species
AAUUAAGCCAGGUGGAAAGGUUUUCUUUAAGUGGGCAGCCUCAAGCCAACAGCCAGCAAGGAAUAAAAGCCCUAUAUUCCACAACCUAAGAAAAUAAAUUCUUCCAACAACCUGAGUAAGGUUGGAAGCUGAUUCUUCUCCAGACUCCCAGAUGAGAACACAGGCAGGCUGACUCUUGAGUCCAGCCUUGUGGAACCCAGAGAAGAGGGCCCAGAAGUAUAGAGAAGUUUUCUGUAAAAUGGAAAUGAGUAUCAUGAAGUUUUAAAUGAACAGUGUAAAACAGAAGACAUCAGCAUUCAUUAGGUCCCAGACCUCUUUGAGAAUCUGAUGAAAUUCUGGACAACCUCUCCUCCCACAAACAAGAUGUACUAGAAUACCUACACAUAAAAUGUUGCAUUCAAUUUUGGAAUGUGAAGAGAUCAUUUGAAGCCGAUCCAGAGGCCUCUAAGGACUUGACUGGUGCAGUAUUGGUGGCUGCUGGGUCAGAUGAGCUCCCUGCUAUUCCAAGAAACAAUACAUGUUUGCAGCCACUAAGAUUUGAGGACUUUUGUUAUUACUGCCUAUCCUGACAGACUCAGGUGCUACAACUAUUUAAGGGCUGACCGGAUCUCACUCUGGCACCUAGACUGGAGGGUACUGGCAUGAACUCCUGGGCUCAGAUGUCCUCCCACCUCCACCUUCUGAGUAGCCGGAAUUACAGGAAUGAACCAUCAUGCUCAGAUGUUCAAGAGUUUCUCCUGAAGUGGAUUUGCUGGCUGAUUUCAAGCUCCCUGAAGAUGAAGGCUGAAUCCUACACCUCGCUUGUAUCCUCCAUGGCUCAUUGAACAAGUGCUAGCUAGCUACAUGGAGACUGCUCAAUAAAUAUUGAAUAACUCACGAGGGACUCAAUAAAUAACGAUUGCUUAAUUGAUUAGCUCCGUCAAUAAAUCUUGCUUUGAACAGAGGUACAGCCAUUGAAGAUACUCAAAAGGCAAUCUCGGUCACUGUGCCUCUGGAUAGGGGAAAGCUCCAUGAAUGUAAGAUCUGGUGGGAGAAGGCAAGUUAUUUAACCUCUCUAAGCCCCGGGAGCUUCAUCUGUAAAAUGGGAAAAUACUGUAGUGCUUCCGUGUCAUUGUCACUGUGACAAUGUAAUGAGGAUGAUGCACAGAAGGCAUUUAUCACACUGCCUAGUCCAUUAUAAAUUCUUAAUAAACAUUAAUUGAUAUUAGCUACUCAUAGAUCUUAAGAACUGGAUUGAAAGAAACACCAUGAGAAAACUUUCAAUCUGUAGCAAUAUUACCCAAUAGCUUCA